rnacentral:tRNA from 1 species
UCUCUGGAGGACUAGUGGUUAGGCUUCGGUGCUCUUUCCGCUGCGGCCCAGGUUCAACUCUCAGCCAGGGAA